rnacentral:lncRNA from 1 species
CUAAUCAAAGUCAGGAUUUCCUCAGGGACUGGUGGCAUGGGGAGCAGCUAGAGCAAUGCAGAUUCAUCCAUAAUCCCUUUCUGCUGUUCACCACCACCCAUGAUCCAUCUGUGUAGUUUCUGAAAAGUCAGCGAUUCCAGGUUUUAAAUAGUUUGUAAAUUUUCAGUUUCUACACACUAUCGUCCACUCGUGAUUUUUUAAUUAAAGCGAAUUAAUUCCUUUCUCUGUUCAGCUUUUAAUGCUGAGAUCCAUAUUUAGUUUUAUAAGCUUCUUUUUUUUUGGUCAUGAAUUUUUCUGUUUAUCACGGAAAUGUAAGAGUGGACUAUUAAUACAUUUAAGUUUAGUUCUGUAAUGUCAAGAAUUUUUCAAAAAAAAUAAAAACUGGACCUGAGCUUUUUCUUUGUGGCUAGAAACUGG